AAAAAAAUUCAGUAUAAUUAGGACGGUUUGCUUACAGUGAGUUUCAGGAGUCGGCGCACGAGCGCAUGCUGCCGGUGGCCGCCGGCGCCACGGCGGCGGAGCCCAUGGCCUGCCGGUCGGCGGCGCGCCUCCGGACACACCGGUACGAGCACGUGGCGACCCAGAACGCCCACGGGAGCGCGACGAGCGCCAGCCCGACGGCGGGGAGCCAGUGCGGCGCCUCGUGCGGCGGCAGCACCACGUAGCCGGCGAGGCACCCGCCGCCGGCGAGCACGGAGAGGAGUAGCAGCGUCGUCACCAUCCACACGCACGCGCUCCCGCCCGGCCGCUCCUCCCCCUCCUGCAUCGGCGGCGCCAUCGGCGGCGGCGGCGAAAGAGGAUCACGGCACUAGGCGGCGACGGCGGCCUCGGCGGCGGCGCGGGUCAAGAACAAGGACGAGGCGGCGUGCAUGGCAAUGGUGGCGCCAAUCGCCUCUCUCUCUGGAUUUGUGUUCUUGUUCUUGUUCUUGUUCUUGGAUUUUGAUUGAUUGAAAAAAAAUGUGCCAAAAAAGUUUUGAU
rnacentral:sRNA from 1 species